AUUGAACGCUGGCGGCAUGCUUUACACAUGCAAGUCGAACGGUAACAGGGUGCUUGCACCGCUGACGAGUGGCGAACGGGUGAGUAAUGCGUCGGAACGUGCCGAGUAGUGGGGGAUAACGCAGCGAAAGUUGUGCUAAUACCGCAUACGUACUGAGGUAGAAAGUGGGGGACCUUCGGGCCUCACGCUAUUCGAGCGGCCGACGUCUGAUUAGCUAGUAGGUGAGGUAAAGGCUCGCCUAGGCGACGAUCAGUAGCGGGGCUGAGAGGAUGGUCCGCGACACUGGGACUGAGACACGGGCCAGACUCCUACGGGAGGCAGCAGUGGGGAAUUAUGGACAAUGGCCGAAAGCCUGAUCCAGCCAUGCCGCGUGUCUGAAGGAGGCCUUCGGGUUGUAAAGGACUUUCGUCAGGGAGGAAAUCCCUAGUGCUAAUAACACUGGGGGAUGACGGUACCUGAAGAAUAAGCACCGGCUAACUACGUGCCAGCAGCCGCCGUAA
rnacentral:rRNA from 1 species